rnacentral:rRNA from 1 species
UAGGGAAUCUUCCGCAAUGGGCGAAAGCCUGACGGAGCAACGCCGCGUGAGUGAUGAAGGUCUUCGGAUCGUAAAACUCUGUUAUUAGGGAAGAACAAAUGUGUAAGUAACUAUGCACGUCUUGACGGUACCUAAUCAGAAAGCAACGGCUAACUACGUGCCAGCAGCCGCGGUAAUACGUAGGUGGCAAUCGUUAUCCGGAAUUAUUGGGCGUAAAGCGCGCGUAGGCGGUUUUUUAAGUCUGAUGUGAAAGCCCACGGCUCAACCGUGGAGGGUCAUUGGAACCUGGGAAACUUGAGUGCAGAAGAGGAAAGUGGAAUUCCAUGUGUAGCGGUGAAAUGCGCAGAGAUAUGGGGGAACACCAGUGGCGAAGGCGACUUUCUGGUCUGUAACUGACGCUGAUGUGCGAAAGCGUGGGGAUCAAACAGG